UACGGAGGGUGCGAGCGUUGUCCGGAAUCACUGGGCGUAAAGGGCGCGUAGGCGGCCUGAUAAGUAGGGGGGUGAAAUCCUGCGGCUUAACCGCAGGGCUGCCUUCUAAACUGUCAGGCUUGAGCACAGUAGAGGCAGGUGGAAUUCCCGGUGUAGCGGUGGAAUGCGUAGAGAUCGGGAAGAACAUCAGUGGCGAAGGCGGCCUGCUGGGGCUGUUGCUGACGCUGAGGCGCGACAGCGUGGGGGAGCAAACAGG
rnacentral:rRNA from 1 species